CCUACGGGUGGCAGCAGUGAGGAAUAUUGGUCAAUGGACGAGAGUCUGAACCAUCCAAGUAGCGUGAAGGAUGACUGCCCUAUGGGUUGUAAACUUCUUUUAUAAAGGAAUAAAACGAGGCACGUGUGCCUUUUUGCAUGUACUUUAUUAAUAAGGAUCGGCUAACUCCGUGCCAGCAGCCGCGGUACUACGUAGUAUCCGACCGUUAUCCGGCUUUAUUGGGUUUAAAGGGAGCUUAGAGGGGUUGUUAAGUCAGUUGUGAAAGUUUUCGGCUAACCCGUAAAAUUGCAAUUGAUACUGUCAGUCUUGAGUACAGUUGAGGUAGGAGGAAUUCGUGGUGUAGCGGUGAAAUGCUUAGAUAUCACGAAGAACCCCGAUUGCGAAGGCAGCUUACUAAACUGUGACUGACAUUGAUGCUCGAAAGUGUGGGUAUCAAACAGGAUUAGAUACCCGGGUAGUC
rnacentral:rRNA from 1 species